CCAAAACAAAAACAAAAAACAAAACAAAAAAAUUGCCCUCCAGGGCCAGGAGGAGAGGAGAUCUGAGGCCAAGAAGGCCACUAACGAUGAGCUGAGAGCUGCAGCAUCAAGCAGAGGGGUCCUGGAAGCAUCCCACUGCUUAUGGCUCAGUAGGACAGGCUCAUGGGUGCUUUCCCUCUCAAAACACCAGAGCACAGAGUGUGAAGCUGGAAGCGUCCUAGUGGAGACCAGGCCCUAAGGGUCUAGUCCUACUUGGGCCAGCAGGACCAUCAGAUGGGCAGUUGAGCAAGAGAAACUAUACCCAAAUGAGGUCUCAGGAUGCCAUAGGCCCCUGACUUCCCAGGCCAGCUCCUGGCGGGGCAGGGCUCUGUCAGUCACACAACUGGAGGUAACAAUGGCAGACUGUGGCCAAGGGUGGUGAAUGUGUGGCACCAGCUAAGCCUCCAUCUACCUCCCACAGCAUCCCUCUGUCACCCACGCUGGGGACCCCUAGCAUCUUAUUUCUACACUAUUUCAAGUCUUAUGCCUGCAGCCUGGGAUGCCCUGGCCUCAUUCCCCUUCUGACUUGUCCUGGAUUUACCAACAGUAUGUGGAGGCCAGUUAGAUUCAGCCACAUCAGCCCGAGGCCAAAAUAGGUGAGUCCCAACUUCAGACUUACAAAUAAAGACAUAACCCAAUAUGCAGUUUGGUUAUGAAAAAUAUCUAUCAAGUGGAAAAAAAAAUCUCUAAAAUACCAGGAUAAAAAUGGGCUGUAUGGCCAAAUACAGUGAGCAUGGACUUGGAGUCGAACAGGAAGAGGUCUCAACUGGAAAUACACUCGAUGAGCUGGGUUUUGUUGUUCUUGGCAUUGCUGCUUUUGGCUGGCUGCCUCACCAGUAAGGCAAAAACCACUGCCUCCCAGGCUUGUGUGAGGAUUAAAUGAAGUACAGUUACAUCCUGAGAUAUGCCCAGGCUGCAAGAACUUGUCUUUAAGAGGAGUUUCAUCUAAAAGCACUGUGGUUUAUGAGGAUUACAAGGCACUUAAAAAGAGCUGUGAUCUUCCGUCGCAGGAUUUCACCAUAGGACCCUAAGAAGCACUUGAAGUGUGUUGCAGUGCCGAAGCACUGAUGCUCAACAAACUAACAGGUGUAUUUGCACCUCGUCCAUCGACAGAUCCCCACAAGCUUAGGGAAUGUCUUCCCCUGAUCGUCUUCCUCAGGAAUAAACUCAAGUACGCGUUGACUGGAGAUGAGGUAAAGAAGAUACGUAUGCAGUGCUUCAUCAAAAUUGAUGGCAAGGUUCGAGUGGCUACCACAUACCUUGCUGGAUUUAUGGAUGUCAUUGGUAUUGAGAAGACAGGGGAGCAUUUCUGCCUGGUCUAUGACACCAGGGGCUGUUUUGCUGUUUACCGCAUCCCAGUGAAAGAGGCAAAGUACAACCUGUGCAAAGGGAGGAAGAGCACUGUGGGGAUGAAAGGAAUCCCACACCUGGUGACUCAUGAUACUGGAACCAUCCACUACCCAGAUCCUCUCAUCAAGGUGAACCAUGCUGUGAAGAUUGAUUUAGGGACUGGCAAGAUAAUCAACUUUAUCAAAUUCCACACAGGCAAUGUCUGUAUGGUGAUUGGUGGAGCCAGCCUCAGUCGUGUUGGUGUGAACACCAACAGGCAAAGACAUCCUAGAUCGCUCAAUGUGCAUGUGAGGGAUGCCAGUGGCAACAGCUUUGCCAUGAGGCUGUCCAACAUUUUUGUCAUUGGCAAUGGCAGUAAACCUUGGAUCUCCCUGCCCAGGAGAAAGGGCAUCCGACUUACUAUUGCUGAAGAGAGAGAAGAGGCUAGCCACCAAACAGUGGUGGCUAAAUUGCAGUAGCAGCAUAUCUUUUUUUUUUUUUUCCCCCUCAAAUAGUGAAUUCUUGUUUCUAAGAAAAAAAAAAGUUCUGAACACAGGCUAGGUGUGGCGGCUCAUUCCUAUAAACCCAGCACUUUGGGAGG